GCGACAGCGAUGAAGACUGAAGAGGCCAAGAGGGUGAAGGAGGUGAGAGGGAUGUUGUUGGCAAGAAGAAUAUGGAUGAGUUUGGAAUGGGAAGCACAAAUGAAGCUUCUGCCUUUCGCUUCAGUCUUUCUUGACGGGUAACUGCGAAUCAAUGGGACUUGACACGUGUACUGGGAGGUUCAUCAGGAAGCUCAGCAGCAGCUAUUGAAGCGAGACUAUGUAUUGUGUCUCCAGGUUUUGAAUCCAAGAGUAGCAAACAUGAAGCUGCGUCUCACUUUGUCUUUGUCUCCAUCGUAUUGGGUUGUGUAUUGACAGAGGUCCCUCUUCCUUUCUUCUCUCUUGGAGUACCAGCCUUUUACGUGCUUGCCUUAUCUGAAUCAUCUUCAAACAAGUGAUGAUUUAGUGAUAUUUCUGUUAUUGGUUUGCUGAAAAUGGG